rnacentral:lncRNA from 1 species
AAAUCACUUGCCCGGGAUCACAUAGCCAGAUUGAACUCCCAAAGAUGGAAGAAAAAUAAUUAUGAAGAAGCCCACAAAGUAAAUGAGAAGAAAUCAUGAAGUAAAGGAGCAUACAAAUGGGUAUUCUUUCAGGUAUAGAGUACCUUCUUUGAUUCCCCUCUGAAAAGAAAAUCCCAUGCUACAGGUAAGAUGGCUAGAAUGUGCAAUGGAUGGAGUGCCAGGCCAGGAGUGAGGAAGACUCAUCUUUCUGAGUUGAAAUCCAGUCUCAGACAGUAGCUAUGUGACACUGGGCAAGUCACAUUGUUUGCAGCAGUUCCUCAUCAGUAAAAUGAGCUGGAGAAGGAAAUGGCAAAGCGGUCCAGUAUUUUUGCCAAGGAAACUCUAAGUGGAGUCAUGAAGAGUCAGACGUGACUAAUCAACUGAACAACAACAACACAAUGGAAGAAAAAUAAUUACGAAUAUGCCCACAAAUUAAAUGAGAAGAAAUCAUGAAGUAAAGAAAAUAGUACUCAAAAAAUCCCAGCCUGAUGCAAAAACAAUUGAGCCCAAGAUGGAGAAGAAAGUGAUGGAGAAAAUGUUAAAAAUGUGGAUUAAAAAGACUAGCUAG